CUUUCUCCGGCCGGCGACCGGCGCGACGGGUGAAGUAACACGUAUGCAACCCUGCCCCUGUCAGGGGGACAACCCGCCGAAAGGCGGGCUAAACCCGCGUACAUGCCACCGGGGCAUCCCGGAGGCAGGAAAGGCUUCGGCCGGACAGGGAUGGGCAUGCGGCGCAUUAGGCAGUAGGCGGGGUAACGGCCCACCUAACCGACGAUGCGUAGGGGUUCUGAGAGGAAGGUCCCCCACACUGGUACUGAGACACGGACCAGACUCCUACGGAAGGCAGCAG
rnacentral:rRNA from 1 species